rnacentral:rRNA from 1 species
GACGAACGCUGGCGGCGUGCUUAACACAUGCAAGUCGAACGGUGACCUCGAGAGCUUGCUCUCGGGCGAUCAGUGGCGAACGGGUGAGUAACACGUGAGUAACCUGCCCCAGACUCUGGAAUAACCCCGGGAAACCGGAGCUAAUACCGGAUACGAGACGGAGUCGCAUGGCUACCGUCUGGAAAGUUUUUCGGUCUGGGAUGGACUCGCGGCCUAUCAGCUAGUUGGUGAGGUAACGGCUCACCAAGGCGACGACGGGUAGCCGGCCUGAGAGGGCGACCGGCCACACGGGGACUGAGACACGGCCCAGACUCCUACGGGAGGCAGCAGUGGGGAAUAUUGCACAAUGGGCGAAAGCCUGAUGCAGCGACGCCGCGUGAGGGAUGACGGCCUUCGGGUUGUAAACCUCUUUCAGCAGGGAAGAAGCGAAAGUGACGGUACCUGCAGAAGAAGCACCGGCUAACUACGUGCCAGCCGCCGCCGUAACAC